UGCAGCAUGCCAGCUGAACCUCUUCGGUUGCUUUCCAGUGUUUCUGACUGUGCUCGGAAUGCUGCUUCCAGUUUCUUUCUCGUUUCCCUGCAGACUUUUUGUUUUGCUCACUGCUUAACGAGCUGCAUAAGAAGGUCAUUGAAAUUAACAGCUUAUGAAGUGAUUUUAAUACCGCAAAGUGGCAGCAACUCCAUCUACAUCUACAUCUUUGAAAUGCCUGCACAUUAAAAUCGAUACUCCUCAUCAACCUUUAGAAGAACAGCCAUGGACAGUAGUGCCUGUGCACAAACCUUGGGCUGAUCACCUAAAUGAACAGAAAAGGCUAGGAGUGAGACUGCUCCAAGAUCCACUUCAGGACUAACUCUGACCUCAGAGACACAGA